rnacentral:rRNA from 1 species
UACGGGGGGGGCAAGCGUUGUUCGGAAUUACUGGGCGUAAAGGGCGCGUAGGCGGCCUGCUAAGUCGGACGUGAAAUCCCUCGGCUCAACCGGGGAACUGCGUCCGAUACUGGCGAGGCUUGAAUCCGGGAGAGGGAUGUGGAAUUCCAGGUGUAGCGGUGAAAUGCUUAGAUAUGUUGUAGAACACCGAUUGCGAAGGCAGCUCACUAAGUCAACAUUGACGCUGAGGCACGAAAGCGUGGGUAGCGAACAGG